UUUUGUUUGAUUUGCUUUCCAUUCACUGAGUCACCAAGGAAAUGAAGGAGCAAAAGGGACUCUGAGGUAUACAGAUAGCACGGCUGGCCACAGUGGGCUCGAGGAGACCUGUGCUGCAGUUGCAUCAAUGAUGACUAAACCGUCAUUCAGCUCAGGCCUGUGAUAACGUGCCAGAGCUAAGGAUUUUAACAGCAGCCUGAAACCCUCGAGCCACAAAGAAGGGCAGGCCUGGUCUCGCUCAGGCUCAGGCUCAAACUUAAACUAAGGGAGAGGCCAACAUCCAAUUCCUGCCGCACUCAUUGCCACCCCCUCAACCUCGGAGGCUUCCUCAUAAAUCUCACAGUCCCAAUUGCAUGCUCUGCACCAACUUCCAGGUUCUGCCUCUAUCUUGAAGCUUAACAGUGAAAGUAAAGCUCAAGGCUUUCCUUAAUGUAACUUAGGAAUCAAUGUUCCUGCAAAAACACACUGAUUUUGGUAUAUUACUUUGGGGAAACGGAUGAAUCGGAGCCAGAAAGAAAUUCAGAGAAGAAGGUUGAAGAAAACUGCGCAGUGUUUUGGCAAUGUACAUUUUUAUCUUUAAUUUCAGACGCUGCCAGAAUAUUCCAUGUGUUCUAUCCUUCAUUCCACCGGAGUCUGUAUCUGUAUUUGACCAGAUUUCAGUGGUGUGAAGUGUAAGAGACAUGGAAAUACGACUUCAGUCACAACAGCAGAAGGCAACUGAGUCAUAGGUUAUAAACGUGGCAAUUUGAAGUUUCUCAGUUUCUACCUGCUGUUUUAUGGUUUGCAUUUUCAAUGUUGGAAACUAUUAAUUUCUUCACAAGGUGCUUCCAUUUAUUCACUGUUGUAUAGUAUAGUUUAUGUACUUUUUGUGUGAAAUAAGCUAUGCAUACUUUUCAAUCAAUAUAUACUGCAUUGAAAAACUGUUUAAUAUGAAUAAAUUUUCCAAACCUUGUGCCCAGUGUUUCUUUUUUUUCUAAAAGUGCAACAUCUCAAAUCAUUACAGAGCUAUUAUACCACCCACACCCGAGUUUCCGUGGUUCUCAGCCCCAAAGCAUGAUUUUUUUUCAUUAGCCAACAUGGAGAAUUUAAGACUCAGCCCACACAAACAACCUUUACUGUUUGGCAAAUGAAGCUUAUUAACAAUUUAAAACAUGCCCUCACUGUAGCCCACACAUUAAACAUGUUUCUUGGUGCUAGAGAGAUGCCUCUCCACUACUCCCAUCACACUUCUCUCCAGUAGCGCACAUUAAAGGGAAAGGCAAAGAUAAUAGUCUUUGCUGCUUUACUUUUCCAUUCCUGAGUGUUACUCUGUGCAAGAUUUCAGCAUUUUGUGAUGCAGAUUCCAUGUGUGGGCUAUGCUUUGCAGCUUUUAUAAAGUCUAUAACUACAGGGUUUUCUUCUCUCUCUUUUUUUAAACCAG
ensembl:lncRNA